UCAGCGACUUUCUGGGUCUGUAACUGACGCUGAGGCGCGAAAGCAUGGGUAGCGAACAGGAUCGAUACCCUGGUAGUCCAUGCCGUAAACGUUGAGUGCUAGGUGUUAGGGGGUCCAACCCUUAGUGCUGCAGUUAACGCAAUAAGCACUCCGCCUGGGGAGUACGGCCGCAAGGCUGAAACUCUAAGGAAUUGACGGGGGCCUGCACAAGCGGUGGAGCAUGUGGU
rnacentral:rRNA from 1 species